rnacentral:rRNA from 1 species
CCCUUAGAUGUUCUGGGCCGCACGCGCGCUACACUGACGAUGGCAACGAGUUUUUCCUUCGCCGAAAGGUGUGGGUAAUCUUUUGAAACAUCGUCGUGCUGGGGAUAAAUCAUUGCAAUUUUUGAUCUUGAACGAGGAAUUCCUAGUAAGCGCGAGUCAUCAGCUCGCGUUGAUUACGUCCCUGCCCUUUGUACACACCGCCCGUCGCUACUACCGAUUGAAUGGUUUAGUGAGGACUCCUGAUUGGCGCCGCCGCCCCGGCAACGGAGCAGCGGACUGCCGAAAAGUUGUUCAAACUUGAUCAUUUAGAGGAAGUAAAAGUCGUAACA